rnacentral:pre_miRNA from 1 species
UUGUGACCGUUGUAACGGCUAUUCAAUAUUAGUAUAAAAGAAUGUCGGAUACAAUGAGCACAAA